CUGUCUUCUGUCUGUCACCGUUUAUUGUAUGGAUGUGGUUUUAAAUAUUCACAAAAAUGUGUUUCGUCUACACAAAGACGAGAAUUUUAGCAAUAAAAGCUAAAUAAAAAGCCAUAAAACAUGGCAUUCUUCGCCCUUCUAUGGAAGGCGCGAACUAUAGAAAAAUAUAGACUCAACUAUGAAAAAGAGAAGAUCAAUUCGAUAAUGGUGGGGCCCACGCAGAUGGAACAAACGUUGUCCCAGAGGUGGCGACACUAUCGACAUGACACAAAAAAGCGAAUAUCAAGGACCUUCCAAAAAUGGUAUCCUGAGGGAAGUGGAGUCGCAAAGUUCUUCUUAUACUUGAGAACAGAUCAGACAUUUCCCAAUUUCCUGUUGAAAAGUGUGUUGGGAUUUCUUGGGGGCAUAAUACUGACGUAUCUUUGCUUCAUGUUCUUUGUGUUCCAACUGUCGAUAUCGUUGAUACACGCGACUAUUAUGAGUUCCAUUAUUGGAGUGCUCUUGACUUUGGGCUUGGCUUUUAGCUAUCGGAUUAGAUGCCUAGUAUUCCUGCUGAUUCCUCAGUUCUUCUCCCGGGUUGGAAGGUACACCCUUACCUGUUACGCUCUGGUGCUCAUCCUGACAGGCCCAGCUACCAAUACACUGAAGAAUUCCGAAGUGCUGUCGGAAUCUAUGGCUUGUAGUCAAGAGCAGAUAAAGAACAGCGUCCACCAAAUAAACGAUUUCAUGAAGAGGCCGUUCAACGCCCUGAAGGACUCCUUGAAGCUGAUGGUAGACCGCCUGAAGAUGAUCACGGCGAGGGUUAAGGAGACGAUCAUCAGGAUAGAUAGACUGGUGUUGAGUGUUGUAAGCGUCAUACAUUCUUCCUUCGCUUGGUUGCAAUCCGUCACCGAUAUUUGCAACGAGAAUCUCGGAACUCCUUACGAGAGAUGCCACAAUGCUAUGGCUGAAGGGAUAGCAGACUGCGAGAAGACUUUAGGACCUGAUAUUUCGCAGAUGUGCCAUGUGGCGUAUGUGGCUCAAGCUGCUUGUUAUUCGGUGAAACCUUUCGCGGCUUUCUGUUAUGCAACCGAUUUUGUAUUGGAUGAAGCCGUUUUGGUCGGUGUUAGGAAGAAACUAAAGAACUUCUCGGAGCACAUGCGAGCAAUGUUCCACGUGGAAGUCCACAUGAGUCACGCGUAUUCCUUCAGUAGUAACACCAGUAGGUCUGCCAGCCAGGUCGCCGCUGGCAUCGUUACGGAGAUCAGGAACAGAGCUGAUCCUCUGCUUACCUGGUUGUCUUGGAGUUCUUGUGUGACGAGCUUGUUCCUGCUGCUUAUUAUAUUCAGAGCAAAAUACUACCAACACAUGUAUGAGACCCGCUCGAGAUUUGACAAUCGUUAUGUAACCAAAGAGUUACAAGAAUUAGAUCUGAAAAGGCAGCGCCAAGGCAGAGAAACGGUCUUGCCUUUGAAUAGACGAGAACGUGCCAAAUAUAUUACAACAACGUCUUUCCGUCUCGUUGCUUCUGAGAAGGUCUAUCUGAAUCGUUCAGCGGUGUUUAUGGCUAUAACUACCUUCAAGCUGCUGAUACAUAUGGUGGCUGACUAUAGUUUGUAUUGGGUGUUGAUGACCAUACGUUACCAUGGGAGGUACCACACUGAUAUGAUGCCGGGUAUGCCCCACACAGGGGCUCAUGUGACUGGCACUGGCUACGUGGCUAGACUGUUCAAGUCUAUAAUAGGUGUCCUGGAUAUACCACUGAAGUUCACACCACCUUCCCCUAUAUCGUGCUUGCCGGAUCCUUAUCCGCCUGAUUUGAGGAGGUAUACUCAAAUUGGAGUCCUAAUCUUUCUACUAUGGUUCUUCGCUCUAUUCGAACCAUAUGGGCUGCGACUACGUCACCUGAUCAUGGGGCACUAUAGACCCGAACGUGCCAAAGCUAGAGCUACGUGGCUGUAUAACCAUAUCUUGAGGACUAGAGCCAGCUUCAUGAAGUUUGCCAGAAGGAAACUGCAUCGUGAGUACAAGUAUACGUCGGAGGCUUCACUUACGUUCCGACAGUGGGUCACUCGCCGUGUACCUUUUCAGUGCCUCAGAUGUUUGCUCGGAUUGGGUCCAAGUGAAGACCAUUGCUUGCUGUGCGGAACUACUGCUUCUUCCAGCGAUCCUGACUCUCGAUUAACGAAGUGCGAAACCCCGGGCUGCCCAGGUACAUUCUGCAUAAGUUGUUUCACAGACAUUGGUGAACUGUGUACCAUCUGCCUAUCACCCGCUGAUUAUGGUGACCUCAGUGAUGUCAGUUUCGAAAAAGGUUCUACAGACGAUGAUAGUGACAGCGAUGCUGGAAUUUAUGACGAUAGACACUCUUUAAAUGCCAUGUAUAUGAGUGAUAGCAGUCACUCCACAAAAUCUUCUAGCAGCGAACACAACAGUAGAUGGCAUUAUUUUACUAGAAGUGGAAAUAAAACAGGGCCUUUUGACGCAAUUGCCUUAAUACAUGCCAAUAAGUAUGAAAGAGACAUUAUCACAAACUAUUUCCUUAAACAGUACAGAACCAUGAAAAGUAAUAUGAAAAUACGUUGUUGGGAUAAAAAGUAUACUCUGGAUUGGGUCACGAAACACACUUCUGAAAUUUUGUAUGAAGAAUUAGAAGCUGAAGAAAAUUAUCACUCUUAUUCAAUUGAACAAAUUGCUGAAUUUGAUAAAGUAGCCAAUAGAACAAAAUCUGUCGGUGUUAAUACUGAUAGAAAUCGCGGUGUUAUAUUAAACAUGUUACUUAACAACUUUCGCACACGAAAACUAAAGACGAGUAGGAAUAAAAAGAAAAAAGAUAAACCAAAUCAGAAACAAUACACAAAGUUAUCUCACACUGAAAAUGUAAAGAGACCUAAUGUAAAGACCCAUACCCACCAGGUAUUAGAAUACAAUAUCUUGAAUGUUCAUGUCAAAUCGUUGUUAACAUCUAAAUCGUUAAAUGGUCACAAUUUGGCAAUACGGCAAAGAAAUUUGAAAAGCAUUGUAAGAGGCAAGAAAGAUACCACAAGAAAAGAUAAACAGAAAGUGUACGAAGAACUAAAAGGUGUCAUAAAAGCAAUCAGACAAUUUCUUAAAUGUAAUGACGGUAAUGAUGAAUCCAAUCAAAACAACGAAGUUACUAAAAAUAAUAAUCCUAUUGAAGAAAAUCUCGAUGCUACUAAACCUAUAGACAACACUGGCAUUGACGAAAAGAAUAAUAAAAAGAAAGACCCCAAGAAAGAUAGCUUGAAAAAACCAAAAAAAUCGAAAGAUUUGAAUAAAUCUAAAACAAAGAACUCGCGCUAUAGAAUAGCUGCAUUUCACACGUUCUUCUCGAACCAUUGGAAUAAUUUUAAAUGUGCUAUAAUGCCUUGCACUGCCCAGAAUAGAUCAGACAGUCCCCUAUCAAAAGAGAAAAAAAAUCAUAAACGAAGAAAAAAACGGAAAGAUAGCAUUGACUUGAAUGAAAGGGACGUAGAAGAAUGUUUUGCGAGAAAGGAUAUUAAACAUACAAGAAACCUUAGAAUAUCAGCAUUUUUAGCUGAAUGGGAAUGGACCAAAAGGGAUUAUAGGAAAGAUAAGGAAUGUGAAGGAAAUGACGAUUCUUUUUUCUUUACCGAUGGCCCUCCAAUAACGACCAAUAAGAUCAUCGGUAUGGUUCAACUAAAAAAUUUGCCAUUUCAAUGGCGGGAGGCACCGCACGCGCAAAGGAACGGUCCCAAAAUAAAAAUUGUUCAGCAAGAUAAAAAAGAAAAGCCAGAGAAACUAGAUAAAAAGGACAAAAAGGCCCCAUGUCCCAUCACACACCAGUCCGACAAAUAUUUAAAGAUAUUCACGCCUCUACCCAAACAUAAACCGGAUAAACCUAAAAAGGAUAAAAAGAAUAAAAAAGACAAAAAGGACAAAAAAGAUAUAAUAAAAGCUCCAUGUCCCAUCACACACCAGUCCGACAAAUAUUUGAAGAUAUUUACGCCUUUUUCAAAACUUGCAGAAAAGGUCUGCAGCAAGAAAACUGUAGAAAAAGUUCGCAACAAAGUGAGCAUCGUGCCAACGCCACCUUCUCUACCACAUUCCAGUUUCUUGCACAAAAUGAUGAGUUCCUUGAACCUUGCUCGAGACAAAAGUUUUCCUAGAGAUGAAACUUCAAUUUGCUUAUCAAAACGAGCUAGUUUCUAUCGGCAGUUCACUAAAGAACUGACUCAAAACUCUGACGUCAUGGCCACUGACAUGUUAUUCAAAAAUGAAAAUUUCUCAAAUGAUUUUGCAGAGGACCCCUCCGAGUUCAUUGCGACUUCCAAAUUUGCAUUUAGCGACAACUUACUGGGAUCAGAAUUAAUCAUUUCUCGAUGUUCCAAAACUAAGAAGAAGGUUUCCAAACGCUGCAAAUGUGGAGCUUACGAUGAUCUGCAGAAGAAAUGGGCUCAUGUCAAACAAUGUUUAUCGGAGUCAGGGUGCAAAAACCCACUCGGGUUGAUGAAGAAUUUCUGCUCCUCCUUAUUUGGUCCGUCUUGUACCAUCGAAACUUGUCCAAAUAAAAAGAAAAAAUGCAAAGAAAGAAAGCCAAAACCGCCAAAACCGCCGAAACCGCCGAAACCGAGGAAACCAAAAAGACCUAAGAAGACGUGUGAAAUGAGAAAAACUUGUGUUACACAAACAGAAAGAUCAUGCAGACCUGCGAAGCCAGAGGCCGUUCAAACUCAGUGUUGUAGAGACAAUGAGACACAAUUAGAUGACUCAGAAAUAGAAAGGGAAGCUGAAGAACAAAGGUUACAGAGGGAAAGGGAGGAAGAAGAGCGGAGGUUAGAGAGGGAGAGGCAAGAGUUUGAGAGGGAGAGGCAGAGGUUACAAAGGGAGAAGGAGAGGUGUGAGAGGGAGAAGGAGUUAGAAAAAUGGAGGGCAGAAGAACAGAGGCUAUUAGACCAGAAGAUAGAAGAACAGAAAAAAAAGCUUGACAAUCUUGAAAAGAGAAGUUCUGUCUGUGUAGCAGAAAGGCAAGACCUUAAAGAGUGUUUUAAGAGAGAACGGGAGAAAAUGAUGGCAGAACUCAGGGAGACAAUGGCUAAAAAAGUGAGCAUUGGAAUGCAUGCUAUACCUGAGACUACAACCGGGGGCUGUCAAGCUGGUGACUGCCCCAAUAAGUUCUGCAAUAAGGAAAGUCAGUACGAUAAGACAGAUGCAAAGCAAGCAAGGAAGAGGAAGCCAAUCAGAAAAGCAAGUCCUAGGAGCAAAGCCGUUGGAUCCUUGAAGUGUCUUUGCAACGCAUCGGCGCAAAGCAGCGCUACUAGGGGAGCACAACUAUGCACUUGUGCAACCCAGCACUCAGCAACUGAUUUGGAUAUUACGACCACAGCCGUCAUGGUUAGCUCCGGUAAUUUCUACGGGAUGAGUGACUCGAAAACUCGAAUGGCCAAUAAGAAGAUUCAACAUAGACAGAUGGCACAUAAAGGAGCUCGUGGGGGUUUCAAGCUGGAAUAUAUUACAAAUACUGCUGUCCCCUGGAGAUGGAACUUCUAAGCCAACGCAAUAAAAGAUACAGCCGUUUUUAACUUACUUACCCCUUUCGUAAUGAACAGAUUCUGACACCAAUGUGCUAAUAGACCGAAGUGAAAAAUUAUCCCUCGAAAGCAGCCUAUGUGUGUUAAAACGUAAGUUAUUUUCUGAAGAAAAGAAAUCAAAACCUGUAACCAUGAAGUUUG
rnacentral:misc_RNA from 1 species